rnacentral:rRNA from 1 species
UCUGGUAAUAAUGGCGAGAAGGUCACACCCGUUCCCAUACCGAACACGGAAGUUAAGCUUCUCAGCGCCGAUGGUAGUUGGGACUUUGUCCCUGUAAGAGUAGGACGUUGCCAGGC